rnacentral:rRNA from 1 species
UACGUAGGGGGCAAGCGUUGUCCGGAUUUAUUGGGCGUAAAGAGCGUGUAGGCGGCCAUACAGGUCAGCUGUGAAAACGCGAGGCUCAACCUCGCGCCUGCAGUGGGUACGGGCAGACUGGAGUGCGGUAGGGGAGAUUGGAAUUCCUGGUGUAGCGGUGGAAUGCGCAGAUAUCAGGAGGAACACCAAUGGCGAAAGCACUUUACUGGGCUAUCACUGACACUGAGAGACGAAAGCUAGGGUAGCAAAUGGG